AUCACCUGGGGAUGUUGUUAAAAUGCAGGCUUUGAUUCAGCAGUCGGGGUGGGGGCCAAGAGUCUGUAUUUCUAACAAAUUCCCAGGUGAUACCAA
rnacentral:pre_miRNA from 1 species